AUGAACGCUGGCGGCGUGCCUAAUACAUGCAAGUCGAGCGAACGGACGAGAAGCUUGCUUCUCUCAUGUUAGCGGCGGACGGGUGAGUAACACGUGGAUAACCUACCUAUAAGACUGGGAUAACUUCGGGAAACCGGAGCUAAUACCGGAUAAUAUUUUGAACCGCAUGGUUCAAAAGUGAAAGACGGUCUUGCUGUCACUUAUAGAUGGAUCCGCGCUGCAUUAGCUAGUUGGUAAGGUAACGGCUUACCAAGGCAACGAUGCAUAGCCGACCUGAGAGGGUGAUCGGCCACACUGGAACUGAGACACGGUCCAGACUCCUACGGGAGGCAGCAGUAGGGAAUCUUCCGCAAUGGGCGAAAGCCUGACGGAGCAACGCCGCGUGAGUGAUGAAGGUCUUCGGAUCGUAAAACUCUGUUAUUAGGGAAGAACAUAUGUGUAAGUAACUGUGCACAUCUUGACGGUACCUAAUCAGAAAGCCACGGCUAACUACGUG
rnacentral:rRNA from 1 species